rnacentral:rRNA from 1 species
UUACCAUGCAAGAUCGAGCGGAGAUGAUGGUGCUUGCACUUAUCACUUAGCGGCGGACGGNUGAGUUNAUGCUUACGAAUCUGCCUAUNAGUGGGGGACAACAUCUUCGAAAGGGAUGCUAAUACCGCAUACGUCCUACGGGAGAAAGCAGGGGAUCACUUGUNACCUUGCGCUAAUAGAUGAGCCUAAGUCGGAUUAGCUAGUUGGNGGGGNAAAGGCCUACCAAGGCGACGAUCUGNNCC